rnacentral:lncRNA from 1 species
AAAAAAGGCAGAGCCUCCAUCUCUUUCGGCCCUCCGAGCUCCGGCGCCAAACUCAACCCCCUCUUUCCGAUUUAGACCCGGCGAUGGCGCAGGUAAGUCCUCGUCCUUCCCUUUUUAUUAUUUAUUUCUUAUGUAGAAGAUAAAAUAAAAAUAAAAAUAAAAUGAAACAAACAGAAACGUGAAUAAAAAAAAUCACCUUCAAAAGUCUGUUUUGUUUUUUUUAUUUCAAUAAUCGUAAAAGCAAAGGAAUAAGAAGUUCUUCCUUACAGUAGAUUCGGUUUUAAUCGAAAGAAAAGAAAAAUAAAAGUGAAAAAAAAAUUUCCCCCUAUUACAGUGAUUUCGCCCCCUCUACAUUUUACAAUAUACUAGGCUUUAUAGCCGAAAGAAAAAAUGAAAAAUCGAGGGAAAAUCUCCUCUUUUGCUACUGUUUUCCUAGUCUGCUUCCAUUUCUCUCUUUUGUUGCUUGUUUGCAGGUACACGGCAAGGUCAACUUGCCAUUUCGGUGAAAGGAGGGCUGGCGGUGGUAGACAUCGGGCGUGGUGCGCGCUGAAGGCGCACAUGGGGUAGCAACGGCGCGAGGAGCGCCAGAAACCCUAGGGUUUCUGGCCAUUCCAAAAUUUUUUAAGGUUUUGGGCCACCGGGCUUUGUUUUUGUAAUUGGGCUUAAUUUAGUUUGUUGGGCUGGAGCAAAUUUGGGCUUUGUACAG